rnacentral:rRNA from 1 species
GACAGAGGGUGCAAACGUUGUUCGGAAUUACUGGGCGUAAAGCGCGUGUAGGCUGUUUUGCAAGUCGGAUGUGAAAGCCCUGGGCUCAACCUAGGAAGUGCACUCGAAACUGCAGAACUGGAGUCCUGGAGAGGAAGGCGGAAUUCUCGGUGUAGAGGUGAAAUUCGUAGAUAUCGAGAGGAACACCGGUGGCGAAGGCGGCCUUCUGGACAGUGACUGACGCUGAGACGCGAAAGCGUGGGGAGCAACAGG